CUCUUCUACUACUGGUUUCCGUCUGGGAGUCUGGUCACAGAAGAAUUGACAAAGAUCAUUUACCAAAGAAACUGUAUGGUGAUGGACAUUAAUAGAAUCAAUGAUGAGCUACACGUUCCUAAAUUGUAACAAAUAUGCUCAGGCUUUGAAUCUGAAUUACCUUUGCCUUUUGCAUCUGCAUUCCCUUCCCAGCUUCUUCUCAAGGCCUUUGGUCCUGAUUCAAUACUCAUUAUGGUGUUACUAAGUGAAUUACUUACGGAGGACUUUCUCCCUGCUGUGGUAGCCUUCAAAACAGAAGCAGCCUUUUCUAACAAGGAUAGCCUAGAUGUGACAAAGCACCAGCGUCCUUUGAAUUGCCAGUGACGGUUGGUUGGGCCUUCUUGUUGCCAACAAAACUAGAGGAGCUAGUCACCACAAGAUCCUCCGGAUUGCCGACACAAGCAUGCCGGCCUGGAACUGGCCUGACUCCCCUCAAGAUUGGCACCGGAGUGGCUGCCUCGAAACGGUCUACAUGGAUGAAUUGCCCCAACUGAAUUGUGUCACUCAAUAUGAGAUCAUGCUGCUCAUCUGGGAGGGAGACGUAAGUCGCGUGCGACGAAUCAGAAACCUUGAGGUAGAACCCCUGGUUGGUGAACAGAUCACUCCCUGCAAGUGCCGGAACGAUGCUGACAACCUGAAGAAGGGAUGACCGGUGCUCGCCUGCAACCUUGACAUCACUGUUCAUGUGCUGGAGGAGCUUGAGAAGGACCCCGGGUACCAGUGACGCCAUUGCUGUAGCUCCCAAAGCACAUUUACCUGCGCAUUGUUGAGCAGGAUUCAGAAACCGUGAUCACUAUCAUAUAGAGGACAUAGAGCAUUGGAGUCAAAAAAAAAAAGGGGGGGGGGACAAUGAUGAGCUAACGGUGGACAACCUGGGCUAGCCGUGCCAAAAGUGAAUCUUCAACUAUCUAUAAUGAAAUAAAGGUUGCAGCUUUACACCAAA